rnacentral:rRNA from 1 species
AUUGAACGCUGGCGGCAUGCCUUACACAUGCAAGUCGAACGGUAACGCGGGGCAACCUGGCGACGAGUGGCGAACGGGUGAGUAAUGCAUCGGAACGUGCCCAGUAGUGGGGGAUAGCCCGGCGAAAGCCGGAUUAAUACCGCACACGACCUACGGGUGAAAGCGGGGGACCGUAAGGCCUCGCGCUAUUGGAGCGGCCGAUGUCAGAUUAGGUUGUUGGUGGGGUAAAAGCCUACCAAGCCGACGAUCUGUAGCUGGUCUGAGAGGACGACCAGCCACACUGGGACUGAGACACGGCCCAGACUCCUACGGGAGGCAGCAGUGGGGAAUUUUGGACAAUGGGGGCAACCCUGAUCCAGCCAUGCCGCGUGAGUGAAGAAGGCCUUCGGGUUGUAAAGCUCUUUCGGCCGGGAAAAAAUCGCAUGGGUUAAUACCCUGUGUGGAUGAUGGUACCGGAAUAAGAAGCACCGGCUAACUACGUGCCAGCCGCCGCAGUAAGAC